ensembl:lncRNA
GAGAGAGAGGUUAUUUGAGAUGACAGUGCUUCAAUGUCCCGAACAUUCUCACAUCUAAUUACAAAUGGAACACGAUCGAUAUCUGAAGCUUGUUGAUGAUCCGAUUCUCCGAUUCAUCUCCUGUUCGUUCCACUUCAGCACUUGCGGGGGUGUUGGGCUGAGAUCGGACCUGUCUAUCCUGACUCGAGCACCAUCUCUUUCAUAAACAAGCAAAAGAGAAAUAAGGGGAAACCUCGGACGAAUAACCGCUGGGGAGACGCAGGCAGUCAGGAUCGUCUGCUCUGCCGGGAACAGGAGGCGGAGACGGAGGGAGGAGAACCGUCGCCGUUUUUACUCCGUCCGCUUCCAGACGUGUUUGGUUGAUUGUUCUCGCUGUUCCUAACAACCGUUUAAUCUCGACACGCCACAGAAUUUCAUAUAAAAAUGCUAAUUUAUGGUUCCUGCUGCCACUCCGACACAGACGGACGGAUGAUCACCUGGAUUCGGGGAUCUGCUGCGCAGGACAGGAAACGAAGCCGAUUUGCCCUCGGAUUCUCAUCGACCGUUUCUCGGCAGUGUUCUUGCUGCCAGUCACAGUGGAGCUCAUGCUACUCGGUUCAUCACACAGAACAGUCACACAGUCAGUCAGCGACUGAGGAAUCCAGGAGAAAAUUGUGCCGCGCGCACCGCUUUCCCUUAACCCGCCGUUUCGUCUGGACUCGACCGUGUGAAGCGCGUCAGAGCGUGUGAAGACACCGCUCCAUCUCAAGACCGGCUGCUAACGAGCUGCAGAGUUCUACUGGAUCCUAGAGAAGCUGUGAACGUAAACCGGCUCCUCUGAUGAAGCAGGAGUACAGGAGCAUCCUCCUCCUCCUCCUCCUCCUCGUUUGCGCUCGGAGAAAAACCCACACGGUGAAUUUGCAGACGAGCCGAACUGAAAUCAGUCCGCGGUUUCAUUUCACGGCAGCAGAUAUGGCGGCGAUGUGAAGAUGGUGUGAAGAUCGGUAGGGCCGCUCGUCGGCUCUAGAGUCGAAACAACUUCAACCCUCCGGGAAAAAACAGGCCGCGGUGAGGUAACGCUCCGACCGUACUCCACGAGGAACGCCGCGGACAUCGAAUUGGGACGUCGGCGCUCGGAAUCACGGAGUCCAAAACGUUCAGGAUCACGCGUGCGGGUUCCCACUGAUGAUUUCUCCAAAGCAAACGUCUGAUAAACGUCACCGAUCACCCAUCAGCCUGCUGACGUAUCUGAUGAAGAGACGAGCGUGUAACCGGUUUAAAGAUAGCGGUGGACGUCAUCGAGGAAAUCACAGUAAUUAUCCUCGUCCGAAGGUCACAAGAAGGUCUGGGGGGGGGGGGGGGGGAAGAUGUGAAGCGAUCGGGGGGAAAUGAGCGCAGAAGCAGGACAGGUGCUUUCAGGUGAUUUAAUUACGUACAGUUACUGCACAAUUAGACUCUGUUAUGAAUCGGGGUCACCGUGACCAUGCUCAGUCAGAAUAAAUCCAUCUCUCAGCGCUCUCGCAUGGAGACGGAGAGGGAAAUCACAUUUACACCAACGUCGGCGCGUACGCUCCUCUCCGCGGUGUAACGGUCCGUCAUCGGGUCUCGGCAGACUUUCUGAGAAGGUUCAGCAUCAUGGAGACUCGUUACGGCCCCGCCUCGCCUCUCAUCGUACCGCCUUUCAUCUCAUCGGCGUGAUGACGGAUAAAAACCCACCGCCGGCGUGACCCGUAUCCGCGUUCUGUACUCUGACGAGGCGUCCAUCGGCCGCGCACGCUAAACACGCAGCGCGACAAAACACCGGACGGGUCGAGCGUUACUUUUCUUUUCCGGUGGAAGAACGCAUCAUAAACGUAUGAUCUCAGAAUAAUCUGAAGGAUGAAAGUCAUGGGAGACCGAUUAAUGAACGUCCUGUGACCUGGACGCAACAAAAAAAAAAAGGAAGUUAAAUUGGGGAUUUUCUGAGGCUUAAUGAUAAAACGCGCCAGAUAAAGAACGCAAUCUGCUCCGUCAACGAGACUUCGAGUCAAAUGCUAUAGACGCACCGAUACGAUAUUACGCUCCGAUACACACACACACACACACACACACACACACACACGUAUUAACGUCAUCCGUUCUAUCAUGUGACACAAGCGUAGUGACGUUGCGCUAUUAAAGCCAGACGACAGGAAACAACCGCGAUCUGGACAAGAAACCAAUCAAUCCUCUGGAUCAAAUCGCUCCUCUUUAAUAAUGACGCCAUGUCCACAUUAACCCGGAUCCAUCUCAGAACACCUUCUCCCGCUACGUCUUUUGAAAACGCGGCUUUCGCGGACCGGGAAAACAGACCCAUUCCAUUCAUAAUGAUGUAUCUGUGGUCAUGUGACUCGACUCAACUCAAACAAGAUGGCGGACGACGUGGUGCUGCAGUUGUCGUGCCUGAUAUCCAGUCUGAUAGCUUUGUUGAAGAUUAACGUCACUUUCGACAACCUUCAGCUCGCGUUUUUACCCCAAAACCACUUUAAUCGCUGUGCUACGGCACUCGAGUCUGUUCAGAUCGCGUCAGAGGCGAAUCUGCUGUGGAAAACACUCGCACCAGAAUCGAAUCAUGACUCUCACAGACUUUUGUUUUUACUUUUAGUACAACGCAGAAAUAAAUACUUAGAUCAUGAUUUUUAAAUUUUUUUUUUUUUUUUUAACGAGCCACAACCUCAGCCUGAGCCGUUUGUUUUUGUUAACAUGGACCUCGUCAGCCAUUUUAGACACUCCCCAAACACCCACACACUCCGCCCACACCUCAGUCUGAAAUCAGCCAACGCCCAGCGCAGCCUGAUAACCAACCAUUACAAAGAAAAACGGGACGGCGAAGGCUUGGCGGUCGUAAGUGAUGUCACGACAGUCCGGCUAACAAUAACGCUAGCUGAAGUGCCGUAAUUCUGUGGGCGGAGCCUUGUGUACACGCAUACUGCACCUUUAAACGUGUAAACAUCUCACCGACUGCACCUGCUACAGAAGACGUUUACAUAAUCUGAUAUAAAGAAACGAACGCAUCCCGCAUACGGUACCGUACCAAAAGUACCGAACUCGAGCUACAGGACAGUCUGCCGCAUCGAACCUGAUCCUUCAUCCAGACGGGCGCAGACGUGGAACCUUCUCCUCUUACACACGUCUCUACAGACCCUUCACACAGACUAGCUGAAUAAUACAAGGACCUCGGCACGUCUCUCUCCCGCACACUCGCACACUUCUAGACGAGACCUCCGACACGACGGCGGCACCAGAGAAGGCUCCGGAAAAUACCGCACCCUCUACAGACCGAGCGCCGACCAGCCAACCACGGGGCCGAGACGAUAACGCGGCAGCAGACUCGGCUCCCGUUCCACAAAUCCCUGAAUUUCUUCUCGCGCCGUAAACACCGUCGGUCGCUCGGCUCCUGCAAACACGCGCUCCACGUCCACGGUGCGAACAGCGGCAGGAAUUUCAGCAGCUGCGCUGCAACCCCGAAUCAACCGACAGGGACGCCGAGGCCGAGGCUUUUAAAGACGUGAAAAAGGAACGAACAAUUUUCCCCUCAAGGUUCCACAUACGGUUCGUCCGGGAUUCCCCGAGCGCAGAAAUCAACUCAAAAUCAAGGAAACUCAACAGAUUUGGCCCAAGACGUGUCACGUGACAUCCUAACGUGCAUUCAGCCAAAUCCCUCUCCCAUUCACGCGCGUCUAAAAGCUCUCGUUUACCAGCAAACAUCACUGCGAAAGAAUUUCUUGCGAUUUCACCGGAUCGCGUUAAAAAAAAACAAAAAAAACUGCAAGCUGCAUCGUGGAUUUUGAAAAUAAAUAAAUAAAUAAAUAAAUAAAUAAAUAAAUAAAUAAAUAGAGCGUUUUUUUGGCCACGACGAUUACAAAAACAAACCCCGGAGAGACCCUGUACGGACCGCUCCGCAUCACCGUAUCCGAGGUUACGCGCGUGCGUGGGGCGAGGUUUGGUCGAGAAACGAGUCCAGUCAGCUCACUCAGCUUCUCAAAUCAUUCCGUCUGUACUGCACAGAUUUAAAUUCUUUCCGUCACGUGUUCACGUGAAAUGAACGUUCGCUAUUCCGGUCGGAUUAUCAGACACCGGGAAUAAAAAUCUGGAUAAAUCUGUAACUGGAUGCAUGUUUAUUUCCUCCAUCAGGCCAAGAUAAAUCACAUCACAUCACAUCACAUGACAUCACAUCACAUCACAUCACAUCACAUGACAUCACAUCACAUGACAUCACAUCACAUGACAUCACAUGACAUCACAUCACAUGACAUGACAUCACAUCACAUGACAUCACAUGACAUGACAUCACAUCACAUGACAUCACAUCACAUGACAUGACAUCACAUGACAUCACGCAGGACAAAAACACGCUUCCAUCGUUUUCACAUUACGGAGAGAAAAAAAACGGAAUGGAUAUCUGACUCGAGUGCGAUCGAUGGCGCUAUUUAAACCUCACGUUUCCACUCGCCAUCUUACUCUUCCCUUCUUCCCAGAAGCAAUUAAGCUGAGUACGGUUUGACUGAACGCGUCUCGGAGCUGCCCACGCUGCAGCUCGCCAUAAAGCGCCGGAGGUGAUGUGGAAACGCUGAACCGUGCCAAAGUGUCCGUCUUUCAAACAUGAACUCGCUCACCGCGCCGCGCCUUACUGGACUUUCUAAAAACACUACCACCAGUAACACUUCACGCUCACGAUCAUUAACUCCUCCAUUAGAACACAACCCGAGCAGUAGAAACCUGCGCCGGUCCGAUCGUAUAACGAGGCAUUACGGCGUCAUAUACGGAGCACGAGUUCCAAUCGUUUAUUUAUUUCAGUUCAUUAUUACACAGAGUAAGCGAACACAAAUAUUUAAAUUAGGAGUGUAUAACGGCAUGAGCUGUACGAAAGGAGAACACGCUGAAGGUCUGUAGCAGUGGUGCUCAACCUUUACUUCAUUUAUUUAGCAUAUUUUGAAAUAUUUACCAAAAAUAACGUACGCUGUCCUCACAUCAAAACAUUUUCAGUAAAUUUAAGUCUGUAACUCUCACACUGCUAAAUGAUAUUUUUACCGACGGUGACGCGAGUGGAAAUAUCGGCCAGCUUUCCUUUUAAGGCGUUUUGUGGGCGUCGCCGUAUGCAAAUGAGCCGAUCGGCAUCCGUCGAUCGUUUAGAAAGUUUUGGGUUACGCUAAACUUUUACAUGACACUAGUACCAGAACAAUUAAUACAAAGAUUCUAAAGUUACACCGAGCUGCACAGAGCUGCGCGAUUUAAAAAAGCGAUCCGCACAAACGCUCAGAAAUUCCGGAUGAAUACGCACUCUGUAGAGUCACUGCUGCACCAGAGCUGCGGAAAGGAAGAAGAAUAAGAUCGGGAGGCUUUUAAAACAGCUGGCUGAACAUCGCGUCUUUACGGAUUGCGACAGGGUCUUGGACGUGAACUGUGACCCGGACAGGACGGGCGGAGCGCCACAGCUGGAACGAAAACAUGACCGAAAUUCUGUCUGGUCUGAGGGGGGAGGAGGGGGAGUAAAAAGAAGAGUCAGUUAUUUUAGUCUUAGUCGUCAAGUAAUAAACACACUUGUGUCUCACAUGAGGAAAAUAGAUCCAGAACCAAAACAUUUCAAAAGAGAAAGAAUUAAAAACUAAAGGCAUUCUGUAAGGAUUUAUAGAUCUAUGGUCAUGCCCUCAUAAAUCCAUAAAUAAAUAAAUAAAUAAAUAAAUAAAUAAAUAAAUAAAUCCGAGUGCCGAGCCGGCCGGGUUUGUUGAUGUUGUCGUGCGAGGUGACCUCCCCUAUAGGGUCCUCUAACGGAAUCUUCCUAGUAACAGAUCCAGCGAAUAGGCAGCUUGCAUGAGCAACUCGCAGCCAAUGAGAGCCGGCCAGUCUGAGCAGAUGUCCGAGUGUGCGAGAGAGCGCGAGAGCGUGUGAAAGCGUGCGAGAGCCAGCCAUCCUCUAACCGUUCAGAGUAUUUUUUUUUUCCCCUCGUCCACCUGGCUGGCUGCGUCCCAGGAGACACGUGAGGCGUUUCGUCGGAUGAUGAUGAUGAUGAUGAUGAUGUCCUUAAACAGACAAAAAAAAUAAAAAUAAAAAUAAAAAUUCUCUCAGCUGCGAGAGUCGUCGUUCCACUUAUGUUCAUUUCGCACAAAAUGAGAUGACAGACCAAGACCACCAGGAGCCUGAGCACUCGGCAUACAGAACAGACGAGGAUGUCCUGCUGCCACUCAGAUAAUCCCCCCCCUCUCUCUCUCAUAUGUGUGUAGGCCUGCUGCGAAACUCCUUCACGACAUCAACGACAUUCCCUCCAAUCACGCGACAUCACACCAAAUUAUAUUAUCAGACGCUGCUAAUGUGUACGUGUUUUACGUACGACAAAAGCAAGGUCUGACAGAUCCUAAAAUGAACACUAGUAAAACACACACACACACACACACACACACCCUUGAUGAAUAUUAAGACGAGAUGGACUACAGCCACGUUUCUUCCUGCUCUUAGUGAAUAACUGAAUGAGCUCCUGCAUAAACACGCCACUCAUGCAGAAAUAUUACGCAUAUAUUUAGUUCAAAAGCUCCGCUUAAAUCCAAAACGAGCUCGACAAGGUCAGCGCGCAUCACAGAAGUCGUUCGUUACGAGAAAACGCUGCACGCCUUCAUUUAGACGGAUUAAAAGCCGGGUUCACGUCUCAGACGCCGACGAUGCUACAUAUUCAUAAUCGUACAAGUUUUCCGUUGAUCUUUUCCCCCCCUCUUUAUUAUCCCAUUAUUAUAAAAGUAGAGAAGCGGCACUUUAUCCGCCGCAGGAGACAGAAACGCGUUUUAACACGUCAGACCGUACACCACGACUCGAAGCCCGAAACCUCCGUGUGAAAUAAUAACGCACGUGUUAUUAUACACCUUCUCAUUACGCGGACACGCCGCACUGCUGCAGUGUCUCAGAUCUCAUACCCGCGGACGAUUCCAGACCGUCCCGGAUCUCCACCGCUAACCGGGAAUCCCAUCACAGUCAGCGUUUCAACUGUGAAAACCUCUCGUGUCGUCCGAUCCGAGCAUCAGACUUCUGGAUUUUCUAAACGAGCAAAGACUUUGGAACAUCUCGGAAGUCGGUUUGAGACGCGGAUCAUGACGACGAUCGCGACGACAGCCGGAAGGUUUAAAGCGGUACAGAAGCUCACGCGUAGGAAGUCGCUCAACGUUUACAGUUCUACUUGGCCACCUGACGGACAGCUACGUUCCGCUUAGAGCUUGGAGA